GAAAACUGUACGUAUGGAAACUGGUCGCCUGUACACUAUGGAUGCUGGUGAAGUGAACCGCAACAGCCGCUACAAA
rnacentral:tRNA from 1 species